UCUAAGGGCAUUGUUUAGAGCCUGGGAUCCCCAUUACAUGAAAAAAAAAUGGAGAACUGCUUAUUUUUUUCCAGAUAAAGCAGGUACUGCGGUACUUGCCGUUCUUGCAAGACAGCUUGAUUUUUGGCAUGCUUACCAGCUGCCUUCAAACAUGCAUCUUGGGGCUCUGAACUUUAGAGGAGACUUUAAAGAGGCUCCACCUCGGAGGGAAUGCGUUCAAAGAAAUUUAAAAUUGCUAUUGCAUGUUUUAUGCUGAUUCUUUUAGUUAACACCGAGGGAAAACAAUGGCUUUAAAAACAAAGAAACAACAAACAUGCAUGUGGAGCUUCCCACAGUGCCCUUUGUGGCGGCUGGUUGCUCUGGAGUCUUCUUGAGGACAAAAGCAGUUGAGAUGUGCUUGAGAAACAAAACAACUCCUGUGGAUCUUUUUCAGAGAGAGCAUGGCCUCUUCUGGCUGGAAGGGGGGAAACACCGCGUCUGGGCAAGUGGGGUUUCUUUUUCUAAGGCAAGGAAGAAGCGUUGCUUUUUUUUUUUUUUUUUUUUUUUUUUUUUUAAGUUGUAUGGGAAGAGUGCCUGCUUGUGUGUUUGGAGCCUGUGUGAUGAGUGCCGUGGGAUGUGAUGCAAAGCACUUGUGUGUAUGUGUUGCUUUUAAUUUAAGGAGAAGCUGUUACGCUUGCAGCAGCCUGUUCCUGUCUUACCUUGUACAUGUGCCAAUGCUUCCUGCUGUGCACCUGGCUCCUGCCUGCCUCGUGCCCUCUCUCGUGCCCUGGGAUGUGCGUGCUGUUUCCUGUUCUCACUUGGGUUUUCCCGGCUGUGUAUAUAGACCUUGCCCUGUUCUCUGUAGUGUAUAGGCAGUACUUUCGUUUUCCCUGAAUCCAGACUCUAGGGGUAGCGGUAGGGGAACGCCUGCCCCUCCCCAGUGCCACCAGUACCCUUGGGGUGAGCGGAUGAGGCAGAGGGAGGCUGGUACAGCAGGGAGGUGCAGCUCUGCUCACUGCAGCCUUCACCACGUGUGCCAGUGCCCGGAUCAGGCUCACCCAUGCCUCGUGCUACCUCCACACGUCACAGGUACCCAGGGGCUCAGCGCUCCCACCGGCACCGACCCUCCAAAGCCACCAUCGCAUCC
rnacentral:lncRNA from 1 species